GCACCAGAAAGGUUAAGAAUGAAAAUUGCUCUUAACAGCAUGAAUCACGGCUUGUGACUUCUGAUGGGGGCAGGGGGCAGGGCUGGUGUCUGCAUGGGACUGAGCAGCGCUGUCUCAGAACCAAGCUCUCCCCAAAUUCAUGCUCCAGAUGGUUCUGUCAGUGUGGAGGAUGGUGCCUUCAGAGCUGCUUGUCCUCGUUUAACCUUCUUCUUCGUUCCCUGCAGGUCUGUGCGAGAGACACAGAAGAGCAAAUGCUACACAUCUCUGGAAAGCUCAGUUCUAGCUCCAGGCUAAAGGAAGAAGUCUCAGCUUGCUGGGAGGAUUCAUUCUGUCCAAUUUGAUUCAAACAUUUGUUGAGCACUUUCUGGGUGCAACAAACAUAGGCACAAAGUGUUGGGGGAUUCAGGAAUGAGUAAGACCAUGACCUGGCCCCCUGGCCCUCAAAGAGCUUCAAGUAAUCAGAACUAUGAGCACGACUCUGCCAUAGACUUUGCUACGAAAUACAACAGAUCUGAGAACAGUGGCCACAGAGCAGUGAUAUGGGAAGGAAGACAACGUGGAGGUCAGAGAUGGCUCUGUUUCCUUCUAUACUCCGUCUCCAACUGUGAAACCACAUCCAUGAGACCUUCCCCAGAACAGGACCCAGCACGGGGUCUGACCGGAAUACAGGAAGUUGCCAUAGCUAUAACUACCCAUAGCUAAGUACCUUAUCUCAUUUAAUCCCAGCAACACUCUCACCCACUUGACAGAUGAGGAAAACUGAGGCUCAAAGAGGUUAAGUACAUUGUUCACUAUUACCCUGCUGGGAGACAGUGUCUGGAAACAGGUUUGCCUGGCAUAAUUGUUCCAGAGGGGAUUGAUAUGAUUUCCAAAUUUGGUGGGUGUGGGACAAGAGCAGGGGUGAGCUUCCAAAUUAACUAUUGGGAUUGUAAAAAGAGGCACCACAGAGAACUGGCAUUCCCCAGAACCUCCAAGGUCUGGGGUACCCAGGAAGGCUUCAAAGUAGAGGGAAGGAAAUGGCUCCAGUUCCUUCUAUACCUGCCCUCCAACUGUGAAACCACAUUCAUGAGACCC
rnacentral:lncRNA from 1 species